CUGGUUUCGGCGCCCUUCUCUUGCUAGAGUAUUUACUCUUCUGCCCUCCUGACUUCAGUCUUUGCUGUUGGAAGUGCAGCUCCCUCCCCUGCUUCAUUAUGGCUUCUGAAUUGAACUCUGAUUUUGCUCUGCUCUCUACGGCUCCCGUUUACCAGGUUGUCAUUGAUAUGUGAAGAUAAUUCUCCCCUUCUAGAGUUUAUUUUAGGUAAGGACAGAAAAAAAAAUGCUUUUUUCUGAGACAGAGUCUCACUCUUGUUGCCCAGGCUGGAGUGCAAUGGCAUGACGGUACGACCUUGACUCACUGCAACCUCCACCUCCCAGGUUCAAGUGAUUCUCCUGCCUCAGCCUCCUGAGUAGAUGGGAUUACAGGAUGAAGAAAGCACAAACAAAUUUCCUCAGUGGGGAUUUCAUGCUAGGAUAACUUGGAGGCUCUUCUUCCCUUGCCUCUAUCCAUCCCCUGAUGUCAGUGGCCUGGCCAUGCUCUUCUCAUGGUAAUGGACAGACACACAGAAAGCGGAUAAACACAGAGGACCCACAAGAGGAUACCACAGUGGCCUUGGGAAUCAGUGAAGAUGAUGCACAGCCGAUCUCCUGCCAGCCUAAGAUGUCCUUGGAACCUAAGUAG
rnacentral:lncRNA from 13 species